AGAGUUUGAUCCUGGCUCAGGUUACUGCUAUCGAGGUUCGACUAAGCCAUGCGAGUCGAAUGUAGCAAUACAUGGCGUACUGCUCAGUAACACGUGGACAACCUACCCUCAGGUCGGGGAUAAACCCGGGAAACUGGGUAUAAUACCCGAUAGAUCUCGGCUGCUGGAAUGCAUCGAGCUCUAAAGCUCCGGCGCCUGAGGAUGGGUCUGCGGCCUAUCAGGUAGUAGUGGGUGUAGCGUACCUACUAGCCUACGACGGGUACGGGUUGUGAGAGCAAGAGCCCGGAGAUGGAUCCUGAGACACGAAUCCAGGCCCUACGGGGUGCAGCAGGCGCGAAAACUUUACAAUGCCGGCAACGGCGAUAAGGGGACCUCGAGUGCCAGGUUACAAAUCUGGCUGUCGUGAUGCCUAAAAAGCAUUGCAUAGCAGGGGCCGGGCAAGACCGGUGCCAGCCGCCGCGGUAACACCGGCGGCUCGAGUGGUAACCGUUAUUAUUGGGUCUAAAGGGUCUGUAGCCGGCCGGAUAAGUCUCUUGGGAAAUCCAGCAGCUUAACUGUUGGGCUUUCAGGAGAUACUGUCUGGCUCGAGGCCGGGAGAGGUGAGAGGUACUUCAGGGGUAGGGGUGAAAUCUUGUAAUCCUUGAAGGACCACCAGUGGCAAAGGCGUCUCACCAGAACGGACCUGACGGCAAGGGACGAAAGCUAGGGGCACGAACCGGAUUAGAUACCCGGGUAGUCCUAGCCGUAAACGAUACUCGCUAGGUGUCGGCCACGGUGCGACCGUUGUCGGUGCCGUAGGGAAGCCGUGAAGCGAGCCACCUGGGAAGUACGGCCGCAAGGCUGAAAUCUCAAAGGAAUUGACGG
rnacentral:rRNA from 1 species